rnacentral:tRNA from 1 species
GCCCUGGUAGCUCAGUGGUAGAGCGCCCGGCUGUUAACCGGUAGGUCGAAGGUUCAAAUCCUUCCCAGGGCG